rnacentral:tRNA from 1 species
GAACCCGUAGCACAGUGGUAGCGCGUGAGAUUCCAGCAACUUGGCUGUUUCCUCAAGGUCAUCCGUUCAAUCCGGGUCGGGUUCA